rnacentral:rRNA from 1 species
CCUACGGGCGGCAGCAGUGAGGAAUAUUGGUCAAUGGACGAGAGUCUGAACCAGCCAAGUAGCGUGAAGGAUGACUGCCUUAUGGGUUGUAAACUUCUUUUAUAUGGGAAUAAAAUGUUCCACGUGUGGGAUUUUGUAUGUACCAUAUGAAUAAGGAUCGGCUAACUCCGUGCCAGCAGCCGCGGUAAUACGGAGGAUCCGAGCGUUAUCCGGAUUUAUUGGGUUUAAAGGGAGCGUAGGUGGAUUGUUAAGUCAGUUGUGAAAGUUUGCGGCUCAACCGUAAAAUUGCAGUUGAAACUGGCAGUCUUGAGUACAGUAGAGGUGGGCGGAAUUCGUGGUGUAGCGGUGAAAUGCUUAGAUAUCACGAAGAACUCCGAUUGCGAAGGCAGUUCACUGGACUGCAACUGACACUGAGGCUCGAAAGUGUGGGUAUCAAACAGGAUUAGAUACCCUAGUAGUC